rnacentral:rRNA from 1 species
GGAUGCGAUCAUACUAGCACUAAAGCACCAGAUCCCAUCAGAACUGUGAAGUUAAGCAUGCUUAGCUGAGAGUAGUACUAGGAUGGGUGACCUCCUGUUCCCUUACCCUCGGACACGCACCUC